AAAGUCGUAACAAGGUUUCCGUAGGUGAACCUGCGGAAGGAUCAUUAAAGCGUUUCCGUCGCGGCGCGCCGGGCCCCUAAAGCCCGUGCGUCUGCCGCGCGAGACCCCACCCUUGACUACCUGACCGUUUGUUGCUUUGGCGGGCCCGCCGCAAGGCCGCCGGGGGCUUCGGCCCCUGGCCCGCGCCCGCCAGAGGUAAACUUGAACUCUUUUUUGUGAACUGGCCGUCUGAGUAUGAUAUUGAAUCAUUAAAACUUUCAACAAUGGAUCUCUUGGUUCCG
rnacentral:misc_RNA from 1 species